AUGUCUCUCAUGUCAUAUGCUGAGAAACUGGCUCUAAUGAACUCGCUAGUCACCUUCCUAGCCAUUUACCCCAUGGGAGUCUUGUGGCUUCCCCCGAAAAUUGUUGAACAACUUGAUAAAAUUCGAAGACAUGGCCUCUGGAAGGAAAGAACCGAGACAGGUGAUAAAUCCACCCCACUGGCUGCUUGGGAUAUGAUCUGCCGACCAAAAAAGAAUGGAGGUUUGGGUGUGCUCAAUCUUAAAGUCCAAAACGAUGCGAUGUUGCUCAAAAUGCUUCACAAAUUCUACAACCGCUUGGAUACGCCCUGGGUAAAACUUAUCUGGGACACCUACUACUCGGAUGCGAUCCCACAUGUGACAACCACUUGUGGAUCUUUUUGGUGGCGCGAACUGGUGAAACUCAUGCCAAUCUAUCGAGGGGUCACGAAAGUUUUGAUUAAAGAUGGUAGGACGACUUUAUUUUGGAAAGAUGAUUGGAACCAACAUGUUCUUCAGGAGGCCUUCCCCCGAGCAUUCUCCUACACCACACUUGAAGAUGCCUCGGUCAGCACGAUGCUCACAAUUUCCAAUGUAAGGGCGGCGUUCCAUCUUCCCCUCUCUAUCCAGGCACAUGCAGAGCUGCAAGCCCUACUGAGUGAGAUCAGGUCCAUCACCCUUUCCGGGGACGCAGACAAAUGGGUCUGUACAUGGGGGGCACAGGUUUUCAAAACCACAGAUUAUUACAAGUUCUUCCGUGAGGUCAUUGCCCAUGCUGCCUUUAAAUGGUUGUGGAAAGCCAAAAGCAUACCCAAGAUCAAAGUGUUUGGGUGGUUCUUACUGGUGGAUCACCUCAAUACACGUAAUAUGCUGAAACGUAGCACUAUAACAUCAGGACUAAUUUAG
rnacentral:rRNA from 1 species